CGCGUCUAUAGGGGUCUCGAAGGUGAGGGUCGUUCCCGUUCCUUGCCAGAGAGUACCAAACGGGAAAUCGUGCAGAGCGGGGCGUCGACUCCCGGCCGAGCGCAAGGUAUAACAGCCGACUAAACCUGUAGUAGCGCUGUAUUUAACGUAUUUGGACGCGAGUUCAACUCUCGCCACCUCCACCA
rnacentral:tmRNA from 1 species